rnacentral:rRNA from 1 species
AGUGAACGCUGGCGGCAGGCCUAACACAUGCAAGUCGAGCGAACCUUUCGGGGUUAGUGGCGGCCGGGGGUGGCGCCCGAGGGAACGUGCCCUUAGGUUCGGACUACCUCAGGGACACUUGUGACUAUACCGAAUGUGCGCUUCGGGGGGAAGAUCUAUCGAAUCUAGAGGGGCCAGAGUCUGAUUAGCUAGUUGGUUGAGGUAAUGGCACACCAGGGCGACGAUCGGUAGCUGGUAUGAGAGGAUGAUACGAAACAUCGGGACUGAGGCACGGCCCAAACUCUUACGGGAGGCAGCAGUGGGUAAUCUAGCACAAUGGGCGAAAGGCUGACGCAGCCAGGCCGGUAGAAUGAUGAAGGUCGUAGGAUACAAAAAUUCUUUCAACGGUGACGAUAAUGACGGUACCCGGUGAAGAAGCCCCGGCUAACUUCGUG